rnacentral:misc_RNA from 1 species
GUGAGUCAUCGAAUCUUUGAACGCACAUUGCACCCUCUGGUAUUCCAGGGGGUAUGCCUGUUCGAGCGUCAUUACAACUCUCAAGCUCUGCUUGGCAUUGGGUGUCACAUCGCAAUAGUGGUGCACCUCAAAAUCAGUGGCAGUGUCAUCUAGCCUCAGGCGUAGUAAAUUUCUCGCUUUGGAGGUCUUUGAAUGCAUGCUUGCCAAUAACCCAAUUUUUUAUGGUUGACCUCGGAUCAGGUAGGGAUACCCGCUGAACUUAAGCAUAUCAAUAAGCGGAGGA